rnacentral:rRNA from 1 species
AGAGUUUGAUCCUGGCUCAGGACGAACGCUGGCGGCGUGCCUAACACAUGCAAGUCGAACGGGGCAUAGAGAUAUGCCUAGUGGCGGACGGGUGAGUAACACGUGAGCAAUCGUAUCCUAUACAACGGGAUAACACAGAGAAAUUUGUGCUAAUACGGUAUAAGACCACAUUCCGGCAUCGGAGAGGGGUAAAAGCUGAGGCGGUAUAGGAGGAGCUCGCGGCCCAUUAGCUAGUUGGAGAGGUAACGG